rnacentral:sRNA from 1 species
AAAGCAUUGGGUAGAGUCGUCCUAGUAU